rnacentral:rRNA from 1 species
GAUGAACGCUGGCGGCGUGCCUAAUACAUGCAAGUCGAGCGAACAGACGAGGAGCUUGCUCCUUUGACGUUAGCGGCGGACGGGUGAGUAACACGUAGGUAACCUACCUAUAAGACUGGGAUAACUUCGGGAAACCGGAGCUAAUACCGGAUAAUAUUUCGAACCGCAUGGUUCGAUAGUGAAAGAUGGCUUUGCUAUCACUUAUAGAUGGACCUGCGCCGUAUUAGCUAGUUGGUAAGGUAACGGCUUA